UACGUAGGGGGCUAGCGUUGCUCGGAAUCACUGGGCGUAAAGCGCACGCAGGCGGCUUUUUAAGUCAGGGGUGAAAUCCUGGAGCUCAACUCCAGAACUGCCUUUGAUACUGGGAAGCUUGAGUCCGGAAGAGGUGAGUGGAACUCCGAGUGUAGAGGUGAAAUUCGUAGAUAUUCGGAAGAACACCAGUGGCGAAGGCGGCUCACUGGUCCGGUACUGACGCUGAGGUGCGAAAGCGUGGGGAGCAAACAGG
rnacentral:rRNA from 1 species